CACCCCUCAAGCGUAGCUUGGUAUUGGGUCCUCGCCCCCCGGGGCGUGCCCGAAAAGCAGUGGCGGCUCGGUGUGACUUUAAGCGUAGUAAAUUGUCAUCCCGCUUUGAAAGUUCGCCCCGUGGCUUGCCAGACAACCCCAUUUAUUUCAAU
rnacentral:misc_RNA from 1 species